AAAUGAAUAACAAUAAUGUGGUCUGCGGAGCCGAUUGCUGCGGAAUCCACUCUCUUAUUGUUGCAUCUUCCCUGUCAGUUUAAUAUAAUCGGUGCUUCUCAGAACUGCUCAACUCCGGCCAGUUUCAAUGGAGAUCUUCAGAGCUCCAUUCGGAGAAUCGGCCAUUCAAGCACUGUAUUCACCAUUUUUGUCGCGGUUGCCUUUUUCCUUUUAUUAUCCCUCUCUUUUCUCUACGUCUCCCCCUGCAAUCUUUCUCAUCAUCGUCUAGGUGAUUUGUACGGAGUUGAAUCUAAUAAUAGGUCCAUUCUAGGCUUAAAAUCGGAUCCUUUUAACUCAAGGGUAAAAGACACUGUCUUUGCACUCAUGGAGCAAUUAACCCAGGCAAGGAAGCAAGGUGCUUGGAUAGCUGCAAAGUCUAUUCCAGAGAGCAUGCAUUGUUUGUCAAUGAGGUUAAUGGAAGAACGAAUUGCACAUUUGGAGAAAUACAUAGAUGAUGGGAACCCUACUCCAUCGGAGUUUGAGGAUCCUAAGCUUUAUCAUUAUGCAAUUUUCUCUGAUAAUGUGCUUGCUGCUUCAGUUGUUGUGAACUCAGCUGUACAGAAUUCGAAAAAUCCAUCACUGCACGUGUUUCAUGUUGUGACUGAUAAAGUGAAUUUUUGGGCUAUGCAAGUUAUGUUCAAGAUGAAAGAUUACAGUGGAGUUCACAUUGAAGUGAAGGUUGUUGAAGAUUUUAAGUUCUUCAACUACUUAAGCAACUUCAAUCUGCAAAGAUGCAUGCAACCAAGAAAUUCAGGAACCCCGUAUAUCUGUCAAUAUUGAACCACCUUAUGUUCUAUUUGCCCGAAAUGUAUCCCAAUCUGCACAGGAUUUUAUUCUUGGGUGAUGAUGUAGCUGUUCAGAGAGAUCUGACAGGCCUAUGGAAAAUAGAUAUGGAUGGGAGCUGUAGAGACAUUCUUUGGUUCAUUCUAUCGAUAUGGACAGUUCAUGAAUUUCUCACAUCCAUUGAUCAAAAACAAGUUUAACCCCAAAGCAUGUGCAUGGGCUUUUGGAAUGAAUUUUUUUGACUUAGAUGCUUGGAGGAGGGAGAAGUCCACUGAAGAGUACCAUUACUGGCAGAACAUGAAUGAAAAUCGGAAAUUAUGGAAAUUGGGAACAUUGCCUCCAGGUUUGAUCACAUUUUACUCCACAACAAAGGUACUUGAUAGGUCUUGUCAUGUAUUGGACCCUCGCUUUAAUCCAAUCAUCAACGUGGAUGAUAUCGACAAUGCUGCUGUGGUCCACUUCAAUGGGAAUAUGAAACCAUGGCUCGAUAAUGCAAUUAUUCGGCCUCUUUGGUCCAAGUAUGUUGAUAAAGAAAAUGAGCAUGUGCAGGCAUGUAAUUUCAAUUUUGGUGAUGGUUAAACAUAUGCUUGAUGGAGUUAACAAGCUAGUCCUACGAGCAUCUCCUGUUUGGCUUGUCACUUCUCCCUCACACAUAAAGUUAGUACUCAACUUUAACUUUUCUACUACAUCUAUCUUAGUUUUAGCAUUUUUCUUUUUCUACUUCAGUUUAGUGUUUUAGUUUUCAAUUGUUUAUAAAAAAAUUUACCAUUCUUAGCGGCUGGGGAAAUUAUUUCAAAUGCACUUUUUAAUUUUGAAGUUUAUAUCGGUGUAUAAUGUCAAUUUUCAGGGGGUAAUAUAUUUUCAUGAUUAAGUAACACUUAUCUGGAAAUUCAUGACUAAGCAACAUCUUGUCUGCUACUUAAUUGUCCUUUCUGUGUGCUUGCUGCCAUUUGAUUCUUGAAUAUGGGCCCUGCAAGUUUUCUUUGCAUAAUAAUUUAUAGUUUUCACAUGGCAAUUAAAGAGGUGGUUUCUCCGUUUUCUUUUAUUGUCAAUCCUUCCCAAGAACAUGUCAAGCUUUGCUUUUGAGAAAGGUAACAAUCCAAGCACAUGCCAAGUUUGUUGGAAAAAUGAUUCUAGUAUCUCAAAAGGAUUUCCAACAAAGUUUUAAUUGUAUAAUACUUUAUAAGUUUCAUAUGGCGAUUAAAGAGGUGGUUUCUCUGUUUUCUUUUAUUAUCAAUCCUUCCCAAGAACAUGUCAAGCUUUGUUUUUGAGAAAGGUAAUAAUCCAAGCACAUGUCAAGUUUUCAUUGCAUAACAAUUUAUUUAUAAGUUUCAAGAGGUGGUUUCUCCCUUUUCUUUUAUUGUCAAUCCUUCCCAAACACAUUUCAAGUUUGCAUUGUAUAAUAAUUAUAGUUUCACAUAGCAAUUCAAGAGGUGGUCUCCCUUUUCUUUUAUUGUCAAUCCUUGCCAAGCACAUGUUUGAAGAAAAAAGACGGGCAUAUUGUUUGGGGAACUUUCUUAGUUGCCUCUGGUGUUGGCUAUCUCAUGAACAUAUAAACUUUGAUUGGUGCUGGUUUCACUCUAAUCAUGCUGUUGAUACUCCCUUUCUCAUAGCAUUUUCAUAUAAAAGUAUGGUAACCUAAGCAAAUUGUAAGUGUCUUUGCUUUAUCAAAAAAUAAAUAGUAAAAAUCUUUGUUUUAUACUCCCUCUGUUUCAAUUUAUUUGUCCUACUUUCCUUUUGAGUCCGUUUUAAAAAGAAUACAUCUUUCCCUUUUUAGCAACUCUUUAAUUCCAACUUUCCAACUUUCCAAAUGGCAAGUUUAUCACCACAAGACUAAAAGGCAUGGCUUGGUACAUGUUGAUUGGGAGCACAUCACGAGUUCACUUCCUGCCACUGACACGAAGCGUGGUAUUUGAGAUUGGAGUGAUGGGCUCAUACUCUACCGAGUUUCAAACCUGUUGGCCAACUGGGGUUUGGCCAGCUAACUCACGGGGGAGAUUCUCAGUUAUCCCAAAAAGAAGUAUGUUAGAGAGGAUUACUUUAAGAACUCCAGUAAAUUUUGAGAAUUACUUUAAAUGCCCAAUAGGCUUGAACUAAACAAGUGUAGAUAAAACUUGAGCUUGAAUUUGCACCCAAACUUUACUCUUUAGGAUCACUUAGGAUAAAUAUGCAUAAGCUGAGGUGAUGGUCUAGUUGAGUGAUGAAGUUGUCAGUUUAGGGUUUCAAGUGUUUCCUCUUCACACUUUGGUGUAGGUAGAAUAAAUUCAUAUUACCUUUUUCUCGGGCUUCAGUUGUCUGGCAAAGCUGCUACCUUAAAGUAGCAUAGAUAUAAGCUAUAUUUUCUUGUCUCCAUUGGUAAUUGGUGAUUUUGUAGAAGUAAUUGAUAAAUAUUAGAUAGGGUGUCUCAUAUAUACUGGUUCAGAAAAUAUUCUGGUGAAUGAAGUUUGCAAUGCAGAAAUUAGAUGAAUAAUAACUAGAAUUGGCUGUGUCGUCCAAACAUGAAAGGAAGGUCAACGUUGCAUGGUGCCUAUAAAUUUUUGUUUUGUUCCUUAUCCAUCUGAUAUGACACAAAAAUGAUUAUCUUGUAUUCAAAGACUACCACCCCAACGUGAAGAAUAAUUGUAAGACCAAUUUUGGUUUUGGGAGUGUGAAUCUUGAGCAAACGCUUGCUUGCCUAUGUUAGAAAAAGUUUAAUUUUCAUGAUAGCAAUAUGCAUGGUCUUUUCUUUCAAAAAUAUAUUAUAUUAGGAGUUGCUAUAUAUUUUUGAAUGGAAGGCCCAUGUGUAUUUCUUUCAUGAAACUUUUUCUCAUAGGUAACGAACAUUCCCUUUUACUGCCUUUUCUGCAAUCAUCAUCAAGAUUCUCCUCCCAAAUUGGACUAAAGCUGGGAUGCAAGUUUUUACAGGUUGGUUGUAUUCAAAAUGCUAAGAUAAGUGUAGACAUUAAAAGCAAUUUCUCACCUAUUGAUAUCAGAAAAGUUUGAUGUCAAAUGACUAAGGCUCUGCGCAUCACCCUUCUUCGAACUUUAUGGGGGAAAGGAUGACCAACAAUUGUAGAAUUUGUUGUGUCCAGAUAAAUUAUGGUAUACAUGACUGGGUUAGAUAAGUUAGGCUACUUCAUGCAGGUUGAUUAUAGACAUUCAGAUAUCUGAUAUCUACAUGUGACUCUCCUUGUUAACUGAUAUAGCAGAAUCAAAUUCCUUGGUAUUUGUGGGCUUCCUCAAGAAACUAAAGUGAAGGGUGUUAUGUGACACGCUAAUGAAGCAAUUCAUUAGUACAGUCACCCAAAUAAUUGUCUGCACUGGCACAACUUGACGCUACUACUUACAAUUAUCCCCAGGGCUUUGGUCUAGUUGUAAGAGUGCAGCAUGCCGUGUGUGUUAGAUUAGGGAUGACAAUUGGACGGGUUAAAUUUGAGGCGGUCAAAACGGGUCAAGACCCAACCCAACCAAGCAAAAAAUUUGCUUGGGUUAAAAUGGGUCAGGUAAUGAGUCAUAAUCCGACCCGCCCAAUCUUUACUAAGUUUUAAUUGUUUUAUUUGUUCUUUUAAAACUUUUUAGUAUCUAAUAAGAAAAAGUAAUUUAUUAUGGCUAUAUAUGACAUCAAAAUUUAAAAGAUCUUUACAAAAAAUUGGCAAAAUUUCUCAUGAGUUAAUUUGGGCUACAUAUGAAAUUGGAUGAGCUAAUAAAUGGGCAGAUCAAUAACCCGCCAAACUUAAUUGAGUUUGAUUUUUCUACCCCUAUGCUAGACGCACUCAGUACUCACGCGCUUGAAACCUACCACAAAUAUAACCCUGGUCUUGAAUUGGAGUAGAGGGUGAACUGGCCUAUUACCAUUGGGGUUUGAACCGUGCGCUCCUAGCCCUUGGGGAUUUCUUGGUUACCAGACAAAAAAAGGAGAUCAGAAAUACAACACACAUUUAUGGGUUUAUAACACUGAACUUGAGUGUGUUGUAUUUGCUAAUGACAUUGUUUUAUGUUUUGAACCGUCACUCAAAAGGUACUACUCCAUCUGCUCCACUUUAUAUGACUCACUUUCUUCUUUAAUCCGUCUCAAAAAGAAUUGACACAAUUCUAUGUUUAGUACGCCCUCCUUCUCAAUUUAUGUGAUGUAGUUAGAUAGAAAGACUUUUGAAACUUGUGGUCUAAAGUAAGUCAUAAAUGUUUGUGUGGCUAUAAAUCAUUUUACUAAGGGUAAAAUGGGUAUUUUUAAGUUAAAUUGUUACUAAAUAUAUAAAUCUGUCAUUCUUUUUUGGAUUUACUAAAGAAGAAAAGGAGUCGCAGUGUUUCAUAAAUUGGGAUAGAGGGAGUAACAAUUUGACUUUAAAUGUUCAUUUUAGCCUUGAUAAAAUGAUUUAUAGUCACACAAACAUCUAUGAUUUAUUUUAGACCACAAGUUUUAAAGGUCUCAUCUUUCUUCUUAAACUCCGUGCCAGUUAAACUACAUCAUAUACAUUGGGACGGAAGGAGUACUUCUAAAAAUAGACAACCUCCCUCUGGAAUCCUGGGAAGUGACUAUCAAUUCCUAUGAAUAUGUUCAUUUACUUUGUGAAUAGAAAGAUAUAUUCUAACUGCACAUUUAUGAGGUUAUAACACUGAACUGAGUGUUAUAACCUUUACUUUGUUCAUUUGCAAAAGGAGAGGUUCUAAACCCAAAGGUUGGAAGGGUUCAAACUCCACAGAGACAAGGUGUUACCUUCCCAUCUGGCUAAAUCUUGGUUUGCAGCAGGUCCAUAUAAUUGUGCUGGUAGGAGGUAGCAGAACCGGGUGGAAUAGUUGAAAUACCAACAAGAUGGUUAGGACAUAACUCUUAUAAAAGGAUUGAAAUGUUAUUAUGGCAAGCAAUUUGAUGUCCAUGUAUUAUACACUGCCGUUCACUCAGGACCAGGAUGCAAUUUCCCAACAGAAGAUCCUUUAUGUUAUUGAAUUUACUUUGUAACUAGAAUCCUCAGGGGUUUCAUAGACAGUUACUCUUGCGUGUUUGGGUCUCUUCUUUUCUUUGUUGAAUCUCUUCAUGUUCUGUUUUGAAAUGUUGUUGAGAUCUCACGGCAGAGGCUCUCUUUAUACCCAAUAUCCCUACAGAGAAGCUCUUGAUAUAUUAUAAUUAGAAGUUAUUGUCAGCUAAAGGACUUACAUGCUAUAAUUUGGUUUUGGGGUUUAUAAGAAUGUUUAGCACUAAAUAAAA